UCGCCUGUUUAUCAAAAACAUCGCCUCCAGGAACUUAUAUAUUGGAGGUACUGCCUGCCCAGUGACUCUGUUUAACGGCCGCGGUAUUCUGACCGUGCAAAGGUAGCAUAAUCACUUGUCCUUUAAAUAGGGACUAGUAUGAAUGGCAAAACGAAAAUUUAACUGUCUUCUUUAUUUAGUCAAUAAAACUGAUCUUUUCGUACAAAAGCGAAAAUACUAAUAUAAGACGAGAAGACCCUAUGGAGCUUUAAACACGUCAUCAACUGUAAAUAAAACUAUACCUAUGAUUGACUGUUUUUGGUUGGGGCGACCACGGAGAAAAUAAAACCUCCGAAUUAAAUGCUUAGAAUACAUAUCUGCAAUAGGAUAUCUAAAUUUAUUGACCCAAUAAACUUGAUCAACGAACCAAGUUACCCUAGGGAUAACAGCGCAAUCUUAUCUGAGAGUCCCUAUCGAAGAGAAGGUUUACGACCUCGAUGUUGGAUCAGGAUAUCCAAGUAGUGCAACCGCUACUAACGGUUGUUU
rnacentral:rRNA from 1 species